GUUUGAUCAUGGCUCAGAAUGAACGUUGGCGGCGUGGAUUAGGCAUGCAAGUCGAGCGCUCAUAGCAAUAUGGGAGCGGCGAACGGCGUAGUAAUAUGUAGGAACGUACCCUCGGGUCGGGGAUAGCCAUGGGAAACUGUGGGUAAUACCCGAUAAUCUCUGCGGAGCAAAGGUGUGAUUCCGCCUGAGGAGCGGCCUACACGAUAUUAGCUAGUUGGUAGGGUAAUGGCCUACCAAGGCUACGAUGUCUAGGGGGUAUGAGAGCAUGGCCCCCACGACCGGAACUGAGAUACUGUCCGGACACCUACGGGUGGCUGCAGUCGAGAAUCUUCCGCAAUGGACGAAAGUCUGACGGAGCGACGCCGCGUGCGGGAUGAAGGCCCUUGGGUUGUAAACCGCUGUCAGAGGGGAUGAAAUCUUCGGAGGUGCUCCUCCAAAGUUGACAGAGCCUCAAAGGAAGCACGGGCUAAGUACGUG
rnacentral:rRNA from 1 species